GGAGGUGUGGCAGCAUAGGUCAAGGUACAGUGCUGGGGAUCUGGCAAGACAAUGAUGGUAAGAAGUUUCAUAGUUUAAGAUAUCUAAAGUAUUU